rnacentral:rRNA from 1 species
CCUACGGGUGGCAGCAGUGAGGAAUAUUGGUCAAUGGACGAGAGUCUGAACCAGCCAAGUAGCGUGAAGGAUGACUGCCCUAUGGGUUGUAAACUUCUUUUAUAUGGGAAUAAAAUGUUCCACGUGUGGGAUUUUGUAUGUACCAUAUGAAUAAGGAUCGGCUAACUCCGUGCCAGCAGCCGCGGUAAUACGGAGGAUCCGAGCGUUAUCCGGAUUUAUUGGGUUUAAAGGGAGCGUAGGUGGAUUGUUAAGUCAGUUGUGAAAGUUUGCGGCUCAACCGUAAAAUUCCAGUUGAAACUGGCAGUCUUGAGUACAGUAGAGGUGGGCGGAAUGCGUGGUGUAGCGGUGAAAUGCUUAGAUAUCACGAAGAACUCCGAUUGCGAAGGCAGUUCACUGGACUGCAACUGACACUGAGGCUCGAAAGUGUGGGUAUCAAACAGGAUUAGAUACCCUUGUAGUC